rnacentral:rRNA from 1 species
CAGAGGGUGCAAACGUUGUUCGGAAUUACUGGGCGUAAAGCGUGCGCAGGCGGCCUUGCAAGUCGGGCGUGAAAUCCCACGGCUCAACCGUGGAAGUGCACUCGAAACUGCUUGGCUAGAGUCUUGGAGAGGAAGGCGGAAUGCUUGGUGUAGAGGUGAAAUUCGUAGAUAUCAAGCGGAACACCGGUGGCGAAGGCGGCCUUCUGGACAAUGACUGACGCUAAAACACGAAAGCGUGGGGAGCAAACAGGAUUAGAUACCCUGGUAGUCCACGCCGUAAACGAUGAGUGCUAGGUGUCACGGGCUUUGACCCUCGUGGUGCCGAAGCUAACGCGUUAAGCACUCCGCCUGGGGAGUACGGCCGCAAGGCUA